rnacentral:lncRNA from 1 species
AAAAUCUUUUCGGAUUUUUCAUUUAUAAUUUUUUUAUUUUUCAAAUACAAAAUGGGAAGUAAUAUAACAAAAGACUCAAUACGAAUGUACAAGACUAGAAAGUAAAAGACAACAUGAAUGACAAACUAAAAACAAAAAAGUAUCUUUAAGCAGCUCCUGAAUGCAGUGGUCCUGGGAUAUCUGUUGCGCACGAGCUGUGAUAAAUGAAUUCAUGCCUGAAUGAGAAAAAUAAGACCAAAUAGAUUAGUGGCUCGAGACACUAUACGACAUCACAACACCUCAUAUUGGACACAUGCAAGACACAGUUUGACUACUUUUAAAAAUUAACCUGCGUAGCCAAGAUUAGCUAUAAGUGCAUAAUCAACAAGGGUGACUAUUUAGAUAUGAAAAUACCUUACUAAUGCUUAUAUGGAUUUAACUCCCAACAAUCAUGACCCAAAAAAUUAAUUUGCAGAAAUGGCCGAUUUCGCAAAAACGAUUGAUAUGACCAGAAGUGAAUAAAGUUGUAAACUCAAUAAGGAUGGACCUUAAAGUAAUAUGACAGCUAGUUAUGGAAUCAAUAUUCUAAGACAUGGUUUAUUAAACCACUUUUGCGAAAAUGAUCCCAUUUUGCAAGAAUGGUCGGUGUGGCCAAAAGUGGCAAGACAGACAUGCAAGAUUUGGCUAAGAUACCGCAAAGUCAAGAACCUAAAACUUACUAAAAAGAUCGGAUCAUAGAUAGGUUGCCUACGUAUCACGUCUCGAAAGACGAGAAUCAGAUUCGCAUAGUUCGGGAAUAUUGGAUAUGGGAGAAAGCUUAAAAAUGACACUAAUUUGAAAUAUAUAUUGUCUUUUUUUAAAAAUGAUGGAAAAUAUAAAAUCUUUUUGGAUUUUCUUUUUCGUUUUUUUUACAAUUUUUUAAAAGUAAUGUGAAAGUGUAAAAUCUUUUUUUUAGAUUUUAUAUUUUCAUUUUCUUGUCUCUUUUUUUUUUGAAAAAGUAGUGAAAGAAAAAUAUAACUGGCCCCUACUUGCUUUAUUUUUUACCCUAUCCCAAGCAUCUGUCCGUUAAUGACCUUUUACCCUUAAAGAUGUAACAUGUAUUACAUAGGGAUGAUUGAAUAUCUUUUUGGGCCACGUGCCUAUUUUGACAAAGUUUGGAUAGGCUUCCUACAAAGGGAUACGGUACCUAGGAUCGAGCCCUGCUAAGUCUAAAUGACAUGAUGCAAUAAAAAUAGCCUAAAGGUUGAACUUCGUUUGGGGUUCACUAACAAGGUAGUUCGAGGGAGCGUAUGGUCGAUGGUGGAUACUCAAGCUUUUCACCCACUCCACACGUCCGACGCCCUCCUCCCCUCCCCCCCAAAAGAAAUUAAUGGUGACUCAACAAAGAGUUUGCGCACGCGCCACGUACUCUAAGACUUGUUGCAAAAAGAUGACGCAUGGUUAUACAAAUGAUGACAAUUUAUAAAGCAAUAACACACUAAAAAAGUGAUAGACAAAUAACCAACAAAACAAGAAAUAAAACAAACAAACUAAACAAAGCAAAGCAAAUAAAAAAACAAACACCUCAACCGAAUAUCCUAAAAGCCAACAAGAUCAAGUAUCAGCUCGAACCUGCAAAUCCCCAGCAGAAUCUCUAGAGAUGUCAUGCCCCUUUUUUUUAAAGAAACCUCACUAAAUCCUCUUAAAUAAAUAAAAAUACUUCGCAAAUCUUUAAGAGGGUUUUCAAUUAUGAAAGUGACAAAAGUUGUGUUCAAAAGGAAAUAACUCAUAGUCGCCACCUGACAUUGAUUUCGGGGUCUGCACCAGAGAUUUAGGUAAGGGGGUUCAUUUGACUCGGGGAGAAGGUGUUAGGCACUCUCCAAGUCCCGUAACUAGUACGGUUGCAUACUUGAUCAAGUCGAUUUUAAAAUAUUCGAAUUGAGGUAACAAAUAUAGAAACGGAAAAAUAAACACACAAGAGGCUCGAGGUGAUUCCCACCUAAUAAAAUGAAAAUGAAAAUAAAAUACUACGAGUUCUACUUUAGGCCUCAAAAUACAAGUACUUCAAGGCAAUACCCCAAAAAAUAUACACAAAUUACGCAGGACAAUCUUCAGAUAAAUUUAACUAAGGUAACGACCUCAUGCCUCAAAACUAACAAAAAAAUAAAAAACAAAAAAAAAUCCUAAGCUUGCCUACCCAAGUGCGGACGGCCAAAACAAUCUACUACCAGGUAAAUUAAUAAAUGUAAAGAAAGAAAUAACAUCAAUAAUUUAAGAUAAAAUCACUUUAAUUGCUUGUUUAAAAAACAAUUUGUCUUAAGCAUCCCAAAUCACUUCUUGAGCUUCUAAAUCCCGAAUUUCAUGACCCAAUUUUAUGGCCCGCCAAGUAACAAUUUUUUCUAACAUUGUCAUUUAUUUAUCUCACUAAAAUUUAUCAUUCAAGCAAACAGGUUGACAAAAUAGCUUCAAAGUGAACCAACAUGAACCAGACUACAAAAUAAACUGAAGAAUAAAACUUUUCCUACUUAAUUCAAAUGAAUACCAAGAUAGCAUGACAAGCAAAUUAAAAUCUAAACAAAUAAAGCCUUGAACCAAAUCACAUCAUUGAAUAAUUUUAUUAAAAACACAAUCAAAUCAAGACAUAACUAAAGGAAGGGAGCAAGAGAGUGUGGACCUUUAAUUGAAGUUGAAAUUCAAAUGCUUAGAUUUCUUUGAAGCACAUAAGCAACAAGAUCGUGAACAGGACCUCGACAGGCAGCUGAAUGGCUGAACUUCACCGGAGAGACUCAAAUCUCGCCGACAACUGGAACUCUACUCGACUUGAAGAACAACGAAGCUCAAAGAGCUGACCAGAAGUGAGGUUUGAUGCAUUUUCGGGAUUGCGGCGGGCCAAUUUGAAUUGGUUUCAGCAAGUUUUUAGCUGAUUUUUGCUACAUAAUUGGGGUUAUUUUUCACCUUAUUGUUGCUGAUUUUUGGACUGUGUUUGAGCUAAUUUUUGUGGUGGUUAAAGGGUGAUUUUGGAGCUGGAUUUGGUGUUGUUUUUUGGCAGCUAUUGGAGCCAUUUUUAGAUUGUUUUUGUCUGUUUUCUCGCUGGUUUCAUGGCUGGAAUUUUCUGAAGCAGUGGUGCUUCAAGGCUGCCUUUUAAUGGCUGUUUCACAAAGGAGUAAAUAUUGUGUUUUGGUGAUUAUUUUUCAGAAGUAAGCAGGGAUUGGUUUGGGGGUGGUGUUUAGUCUUUUUGGGUGUGUUGAAUAUUAGAAUAGCUGUUGCUUCUUCUUUUUGGUCUUUUGCUGAUCUUUUAAAUUUAUGUUUUGUUGAUUUUCCAUGUCAAAAACGGCAGCUUCUCUAUUUUUUCGAGGUUUUUUAGGUUAGCUCUUUAGCUUGAUGAAGGAGAUAGGCUAUGGCAGGGGGGUCUAUGGCCUGUUAGGGUUUUUAUUCAUUGUGCCCCCGUUUUGUAUAUGUCCCUUCCA